rnacentral:snRNA from 1 species
GGAUGUGAGGGCGAUCUGACCAUGAUGUCUGUCACCCCACUGAUUGCCAGGGUUGAUUCAGCUGAUCUGACUGUUCACAUAAAUAUCCCCUUCCUCCCUCACCCUCCAUGUGCGUCCCUUAGACCUUCUCUGACAGAGAAGAGAUGUCAAGGGUAUACAAAGAGCUGCAUUCCUCUGCUAGAACUUCCAAACAAGCUCUCAAGAGAGAAUCCUGACUCUUAAGAAAUACAUAGUAUAGAAUUUGGAGGCAAAGGACUGUGAUAUCUGAAAUUCUCAAAUAGCUCAGGGAAAAAUUAUUC